CCUCACAAUCUCCACCUUGGGCUUUGGUCAGAUAAGGCCCAUCACCACCUCACGUCUUCUUCUUUCCCUGAUGGCAAUCGAAGCUUUUCAUUCUGAUUACGUCUCAGAUACAAACCGUGACAUGCAAUUGGAACUCCCUGCGAUUCUUGCAAUUCACGACUGUGCCCUUUGGAGAUCACUCCACCUCUUCGUCUAUCUCCGGUGUGAUUCCGAUCACAAACUCUCAACCAGUGGUGGGUUUCGUCGCCGUUAGAAACUGCCUCCACCACCAAAGCUCAUGGAUCUCUUCUCCGUGAAUGUCGUUUCCUUGUUUGCUUUGAGAAUGAACCACUUCAAGUUUCUGGCCAGAAUCCAUUGUUCUUAUUGUGAAUCAUCUAUCACCAUUAGAAUAUGAAACAACUCCUAAGAACUUUCAGCUACAGACAGGACGAAUGACCGUUUGCGCCUCCGGUGAAGCUUUUACUCAACGGUGAAGACGAUGCAAUUUCUCUGCAUCUGUGAUGAAGCUUACAAACUCCACCCCUGUCUUUGGUAAUCCUGAGUUUGCUUUCCUGUCAAAUAAACACGGCUGUGUCCUUACCCCUUUGAUUUUUCCUCCUUUUUCAGAUAGUGAAACCUUCCAGCAGUACUUUGUCGACCCUUUUCUCAGCUCCUCCAGCAACCCUUUUUGCCGCAUUGUACUGCAUCUCCAACGACCCUGUUUCCGCAUUCUCCAGCUUCUCCAGCGAAUUGUUCCCCUCCUCCGCUGAAUAUAAGUCACACGUCUCCCUCAGCUUGUCCGGAGAUUUCCAUCGAUGAGCCUGCUUUUCCAGCGGUUCAUCACCAUCGCAACUCAACUCCGACAAUUACUUUGCCAUUGAACUCAGAUCAAGUUACUCCACCUUGAACUCUGAUUCUUCCUUUGAUUACACCACCAUUAACCGCACUUCUGUUUUCUUCUUGAGCUCAAAACUCAGAGAGAUUCAUGACUCUCUCUCAAGUUUCCAUCUUCUCUCGAGCUACACCGAUGAUCCUGUGAUAUCAAUGCUCAAGAUCCUCCAGCUUCCGACUCAUCUCCCUUGAUAAGUUGCAACAGAGCUAGCUUGUCUUUCUCUCUACAGCUUGUCUGGCGAAAGCCUUCGCCACCUCCACUGUCCAAAACGUUUCUUUGUGCAAUCUCCUCCAGUGACCAUCUUGGUCGUACCAUCACCACAUACCUCCGUCGCUUUGUACGCGACGAACAAUAGACCCGUGCCCAUUCUCAGCCUCAAUGAUCACAUGUAGCCUCUGAACUAUGUAUCAUCUUCUGCCUCUGUUCCAAUAACUCCAGCUCCACCUUGAACCAGAAACAACAGUGCACGACUUCUGAUGCUUCACGGAUACCUUACACCUUGACUGCGAGAGCUCAGCCUCGCCCUUCAUCUCUAGGUAAUUCCCUUUACCUCUAUAUGUUUUUGCACUUCUCAUCAUUAAACUUUACCCAGUAAUGAAAUCUUGUAGUGCUUCCAGAAAACCUAAGCCCCUUUCCUUUAACUAGAAUCAUCUUUGCCUCAUGCCUGAAGCUAAACUACUGUAACCCAAUCAAUCACACAGCCUCCUCCAUGACCUUCAUGAAUCUGUUAUGUUGAUUUAAUUCAUUUUCCCUCUGCAUCUUGAUAUUUUUUU